rnacentral:rRNA from 1 species
UGAAUACGAGAUGCUACGGCGUCGAAGCAGUCUAUGUCAUACUUCCAAGAAAAGCUCGCACUGUCAUAAACAAAUAAUGCCUGUACCAUAACCGACACAGGUGGGUAGGUAGAGUAUACUAAGGGGCGCGAGAUAACUCUCUCUAAGGAACUCGGCAAAAUGACUCCGUAACUUCGGGAGAAGGAGUGCCUUAUUUAUAAGGUUGCAAUAACAAGAUCCAAGCAACUGUUUAUCAAAAACACAGGUCUCCGCUAAGUCGUAAGACGAUGUAUGGGGGCUGACGCCUGCCCAGUGCCAGAAGGUUAAAGAAGUUGGUUAGCAUUCGCGAAGCUGAUAACUGAAGCCCUGGUGAACGGCGGCCGUAACAAUAACGGUCCUAAGGUAGCGAAAUUCCUUGUCGGGUAAGUUCCGACCCGCACGAAAGGCGUAAUGAUUUGGAUACUGUCUCGGAGAGGGGCUCGGUGAAAUAGACUUGUCUGUGAAGAUGCGGACUACCUGCACCAGGACAGAAAGACCCUAUGAAGCUUUACUGUAACUUGAGAUUGAAAUUGGACUUUACUUGCGCAGUAUAGGUGGGAGGCGUUGAUAAUAUUCUUGCGGGAUUAUUUGAGCCAUCAGUGAGAUACCACUCUUGUAAUGUUAGAUUUCUAACUUUGUAUCAUUAUCUGGUCAGAGGACAGUUUCAGGCGGGCAGUUUGACUGGGGCGGUCGCCUCCUAAACGGUAACGGAGGCGCACAAAGGUUUCCUCUGAACGGGUAGAAAUCGUAUCUAGAGUGUAAAGGCAUAAGGAAGCUUGACUGUGAGACCUACAAGUCGAGCAGGGACGAAAGUCGGUCUUAGUGAUCUGACGGUGCUGAGUGGAAAGGCCGUCACUCAACGGAUAAAAGUUACUCUAAGGAUAACAGGCUGAUCUCCCCCAAGAGUUCACAUCGACGGGGAGGUUUGGCACCUCGAUGUCGGCUCAUCGCAUCCUGGGGCGGUAGUACGUCCCAAGGGUUGGGCUGUUCGCCCAUGAAAGCGGUACGCGAGCUGGGUUCAGAACGUCGUGAGACAGUUCGGUCCAUAUCCGGUGUAGGCGUUAGAAUAUUGAGAGGAGCCUUCUUUAGUACGAGAGGACCGAGAAGGACAUACCUCUGGUGUACCAGUUAUCGUGCCAACGGUAAACGCUGGGUAGCUAUGUAUGGAGUGGAUAACCGCUGAAAGCAUCUAAGUGGGAAGCCCACCUCAAGAUAAGUAUUCUC